GCCUAAAGCGUCCGUAGCCGGCUUUGUAAGUUUUCGGUUAAAUCUAUAUGCUCAACAUAUAGGCUGCCGGGAAUACUGCAAAGCUAGGGAGUGGGAGAGGUAGACGGUACUCGGGAGGAAGGGGUAAAAUCCUUUGAUCUCUCGAUGACCACCUGUGGCGAAGGCGGUCUACCAGAACACGUCCGACGGUGAGGGAUGAAAGCUGGGGGAGCAAACCGGAUUAGAUACCCGGGUAGUCCCAGCUGUAAACUAUGCAAACUCAGUGAUGCAUUGGCUUGAUGCCAAUGCAGUGUUGCAGGGAAGCCGUUAAGUUUGCCGCCUGGGAAGUACGUACGCAAGUAUGAAACUUAAAGGAAUUGGCGGGGGAGCACCACAAGGGGUGAAGCCUGCGGUUCAAUUGGAGUCAACGCCAGAAAUCUUACCCGGAGAGACAGCAGAAUGAAGGUCAAGCUGAAGACUUUACCAGACAAGCUGAGAGGUGGUGCAUGGCCGUCGCCAGCUCGUGCCGUGAGAUGUCCUGUUAAGUCAGGUAACGAGCGAGAUCCUUGCCUCUAGUUGCCACCAUUACUCUCAGGAGUAGUGGGGCGAAUUAGCGGGACCGCCGUAGUUAAUACGGAGGAAGGAAGGGGCCACGGCAGGUCAGUAUGCCCCGAA
rnacentral:rRNA from 1 species